rnacentral:rRNA from 1 species
UACGUAGGCAGCAAGCGUUGUUCGGAAUUACUGGGCGUAAAGGGCGCGUAGGCGGGGAGGUAAGUCGGGUGUGAAAUCCCUCGGCUCAACCGAGGAACUGCGCCCGAGACUGCCUUUCUUGAGUCCCGGAGAGGAAGGUGGAAUUCCCGGUGUAGCGGUGAAAUGUGUAGAGAUCGGGAGGAACACCGGUGGCGCAGGCGGGUCUCUGGGCAAUUCCUGACGCUGAGGCGCGAAAGCGUGGGGAGCAAACGGG